GGGCGGAUAGCUCAGUUGGUAGAGCGCAGCCCUUACAAGGCUGAUGUCGCAGGUUCGAUCCCUGUUCCGCCUACCA
rnacentral:tRNA from 2 species